ensembl:snRNA U1 U1 spliceosomal RNA
CUUCUAACCCAGCAGGGGAGAUACCAUGAUCUCGAAGGUAGUUUUCCCAGGUCAAGGCUUAUCCAUUGCACUCUGGAUGUACUGAUCUGUAUAUCCACAUAUCCAAGAUCGCAUGAAAAUUUCUC